rnacentral:rRNA from 1 species
GACGAACGCUGGCGGCGUGCUUAACACAUGCAAGUCGAACGGAAAGGCCCUGCUUUUGUGGGGUGCUCGAGUGGCGAACGGGUGAGUAACACGUGAGUAACCUGCCCUUGACUUUGGGAUAACUUCAGGAAACUGGGGCUAAUACCGGAUAGGAGCUCCUGCUGCAUGGUGGGGGUUGGAAAGUUUCGGCGGUUGGGGAUGGACUCGCGGCUUAUCAGCUUGUUGGUGGGGUAGUGGCUUACCAAGGCUUUGACGGGUAGCCGGCCUGAGAGGGUGACCGGCCACAUUGGGACUGAGAUACGGCCCAGACUCCUACGGGAGGCAGCAGUGGGGAAUAUUGCACAAUGGGCGGAAGCCUGAUGCAGCAACGCCGCGUGCGGGAUGACGGCCUUCGGGUUGUAAACCGCUUUCGCCUGUGACGAAGCGUGAGUGACGGUAAUGGGUAAAGAAGCACCGGCUAACUACGUGCCAGCAGCCGCGGUGAUACGUAGGGUGCGAGCGUUGUCCGGAUUUAUUGGGCGUAAAGGGCUCGUAGGUGGUUGAUCGCGUCGGAAGUGUAAUCUUGGGGCUUAACCCUGAGCGUGCUUUCGAUACGGGUUGACUUGAGGAAGGUAGGGGAGAAUGGAAUUCCUGGUGGAGCGGUGGAAUGCGCAGAUAUCAGGAGGAACACCAGUGGCGAAGGCGGUUCUCUGGGCCUUUCCUGACGCUGAGGAGCGAAAGCGUGGGGAGCGAACAGGCUUAGAUACCCUGGUAGUCCACGCUGUAAACGGUGGGUACUAGGUGUGGGGUCCAUUCCACGGGUUCCGUGCCGUAGCUAACGCUUUAAGUACCCCGCCUGGGGAGUACGGCCGCAAGGCUAAAACUCAAAGGAAUUGACGGGGCCCCGCACAAGCGGCGGAGCAUGCGGAUUAAUUCGAUGCAACGCGUAGAACCUUACCUGGGUUUGACAUGGAUCGGGAGUGCUCAGAGAUGGGUGUGCCUCUUUUGGGGUCGGUUCACAGGUGGUGCAUGGCUGUCGUCAGCUCGUGUCGUGAGAUGUUGGGUUAAGUCCCGCAACGAGCGCAACCCUUGUUCACUGUUGCCAGCACGUUAUGGUGGGGACUCAGUGGAGACCGCCGGGGUCAACUCGGAGGAAGGUGGGGAUGACGUCAGGUCAUCAUGCCCCUUAUGUCCAGGGCUUCACGCAUGCUACAAUGGCUGGUACAGAGAGUGGCGAGCCUGUGAGGGUGAGCGAAUCUCGGAAAGUCGGUCUCGGUUCGGAUUGGGGUCUGCAACUCGACCUCAUGAAGUCGGAGUCGCUAGUAAUCGCAGAUCAGCAACGCUGCGGUGAAUACGUUCCCGGGGC